AUCGCGACGCCUGAUUUUCUUUAUCGAUCUUUAUUUAUAAUAUCUACUUUGUUCAACAUAAACAUUCAGAUUUAAGAAAAUAAAUAAAAUGAUGCCAAUUUAACAAAAUAAAUAAUAUUAAAUUUUGAUAAUAUAAAGCAUAAGUGUAUUAAAUCUAAAAAUGAAACCAAGUCCUCCAAAGGUUUUACGCACUCAAAAGCCUAUUAGCCGACCGUUUUAUGAGUUCCAUACAAAAUCUAGUGCUCAAAUUGUAGCUGAAGCAAGAUCAACGAUACGCUCUUUGGAUACAAAACGUCCAUAUACUCCUCUAGAUUCCCUUCCAAGAUUGUUAGUUUCUGAUAACAAAUUAGACUUCAGCUCCUUUUCUAUUGAUUCACGGCCAUCAACUGGCAAAAAGCUUUCACCUAUUAAAGAUGGCAAGGAACAACAACAGUAUUAUGUCAUACCUAGAAAUAAAGUUGUGAAAAUUGGAAAGAGCAUUAAAUCAGGGGACACUCAUGGUUUGUUGCCUUCAUUAAAAAUCCAACCAUCUUUGACACAAUCAUCAUGUUUAUCAGAACCAAUUAUUAAAGUUUCAUCAUAUUCAACUGCAAAAGAAACAGAAGACUAUGUUAAAACCUGGUUGAAUAAGUGUAAUAAUUCAGAAGAUAAAAACAAAGUGGUGCAUACAAAAUAUGACAGAAAAAGAUUUGAAGAAAAUAUUACUCCAUUGUUAAAACAAAUGGAACUAAAUCAUUUACAUGAAGAUUAUGGUUCCCUGUUAAUAAACUUUGAUAUUCUUUUAAAAACACUGCAGUUUGAAGAUAUGCUGGGGAAAAACAAAUUAGAACCAAAACAAAGGUCAGAAGUUUUAUCUACUGCGCUUAAGUGCUCUGAAGAAAAAAAUCCAUUAGUUCUUUUAAAACUUUCAAAACUGUUUAUAGCUCUGGAAGUGACUGGAAAAAACUUAGAGAUUGUGUCAAAAAUCUUGUUCCACCUUGCUCAAGAAAAAGAAAAUGAUUUACUUUUUGUUAAAGAGAAAAUGUUUGAUCCCAUACUUCAAGUGCUAAAGAUGAUAGAUAAAUCAGAGCGAAUAAAAUGUCUAAUUUUUUUAUGUGGAACAUUAAAGCUUCUCUCAGAAAAUUGCAAAAUUGUUCCUGAACUUGUCCAGUGCAAUGUUCUUAAUGUUUUGGUUAAUGUUUUAGAAGUUAUUGAAAAGUUUUACAAAGCAAAAAAUCAAACAACAGAUUGUCCUCAUGCUGUUCUUCAGACUUAUGUACUCCAGGUGGUCUCAACGUUUGCAAAUUUAGCAAAUGAAGAUUCGCUACAUGAAGAAUUUGUUUCCUGCAAAAUACCUGAUGUUUUAUUCAGUACAAUAGAUAUUUACAAUGAAGACGAAGGAAUUGUGCUGAGCUAUUGCAGAGUUAUAAGCAAAUUGACUGUAAAUGAAAAGUGGUGUGUCCAUUUACACAAUGAAUCAUUUUAUAAAAAUCAAGUUCAAUUACUUCGGAAACACCAUUUGAAUAAAGAUAUUGCUGUUCGUAUAUUUUUUGUCAUUGGAAAUUUAGCAUCAUACUUGAUCGAAUGUAGGAACAUUUUUACAUUUCAAACAGAAUGUUUAGAUUUAGUGGUAUCAGUAGUUAACCUAUAUGUGGAAAAAUGUAGGUUUGAUAUAAAACCACUUACAAAAGUUGAAGAAAGUAAAUUGCAACUUACAAAAGUUGUAAGUAAAGAUGAAGAUGUGAUAAUUAAGGCUGUUCGAGUGAUUGCUAAUUUAUCAAUGAGCAAGGAGUGUGCCGAAGCCUUUUGUAAUGAAAAAAAAUACAUUGAUACUUUUAUUAUUAUAUUGGGCAACCAGAAUGUUUCAUUUGAACUUCGUAAUAAUGUUAUUGCAACAAUUAAUAAUUUAGCAUACUUUGCAACAGAUGAAUGCUAUUUCUCUACAACAAGAGUUUCUAUUACUGAAGCUAUUAUAAAGCUGUUGUUUUCCGUGGAAGUUAAGAGUGAAGUUUUACGAGCUCUUGGCAACCUUACCCAAAAUGAAGAUGUUAGAGAAACACUUAUUAAAAAUAACUUUGGAGAAAAUGUUAGUGAGCUUUUAGAUUCAAGUAAUCAAGAAUUAUUGUUUUCUGUUUGUGGUCUUCUUGUUAACAUGGUGGUUGAUAAACGAUUUAUUUUAAAACAACAAAAUGUUAUACCAAAGCUGAUCGAUUUGUUGAGAAAUCUAAGUGAGAAUGAUUGGUGUCUUGCUGCUCUUAUAUGUCAAAUAUUUUGCAACUAUACAGACGAACUAACUAACAUUGAAUUUUUCUUUAAUCAAGAAGAGAGCGACGACAUAGUGACAAUUCUUAAUGAAUUUAUAGAUCCUGUGUUAGCAUUAGAUUAUGAGAAAUCCGAAAUAGACGAAGACACUAUAAAUUGGCUUAAACAAUCGUGGUAUGAAGAUUUUUUUCCAGUAGCUUGCAAACUUUUACAGCGAUUCAAUAACGUUCCUUUUAAUGACAAAAUAAAUUGAAAAGUACAAUGUCUAUUGGCACGGCCGCCGUGAACAACUUCUAAAAAAGACUAUUGGCACGGCUGCCAUAUAAACAGUUAAGAAAAGGUGUUUGCAUGAUCAAAUUGGCAAAAUUUGAAAUAGGACUGCACCGUAACUUUAGAAUUAAUUAAUAGAAACUUAUUAUGGUAAGACUUGUCUUCGACUGCAAAUCCAUUGAUUGAUAUCUAAUUUUGAUUUAUUCUGUCGGAAUGUCCAUUAGUCCUUUUUCUUUUUUUUGCUUUGAUGUUUCUGAAAGAUAUUAUUUGUGUAAUAUAUUAUAGAUAAUAAUACUGUAAAUUGAAAGAUAUUGUAAUAAUAUAAAUAUAAUUAUGAAUUAAUAUAUGACAGCUGUUAUAAUCUUCUUUUCAAAUAUUUUUACCCUGUUACAUGAGACUUUUAAAACUAUGUUAAUAAAUUUUA
rnacentral:misc_RNA from 1 species